UACGGGGGGGGCAAGCGUUGUUCGGAAUCACUGGGCUUAAAGGGCGCGUAGGCGGGCCCGUCGGUCAGGGGUGAAAGCCCGCGGCUCAACCGCGGAAGUGCCCCUGAUACCGCGGGCCUCGAGGGGGGUAGGGGCGCGCGGAACUUCCGGUGGAGCGGUGAAAUGCGUAGAUAUCGGAAGGAACACCGGUGGCGAAAGCGGCGCGCUGGGCCCUUACUGACGCUGAGGCGCGAAAGCCAGGGGAGCAAACGGG
rnacentral:rRNA from 1 species